GGACAAGGCUGAACAGCAGUGACUACCCAUGACUCAAGAUUCUUCUGGCAGGUCACAAGAGUGAACAGCAUCCCAAACCAAACUGCACAAGUUGCCCAAUAAGAAGUCCUCCCAUGAGAUUUGGAAGUCCGAAAAGGAUGACUCAAUAUUCUCCAUUGGUACCUAAGACAGACACAGGGACAGACAUGAGGACUAGAGAAACACCUGAAAAGAUGCUGUAGGAAGCUGAGAGCAUCAGCACCCCCACCCCUAAGCUUCCAGACAGGACUGAGGACCAUAUGGUUAGAAAGCCCAUACUUCAGAGGAAGAUGCAUUCUGUUGCCUGAGGGAGGAUCAGAGAUUCCUGCUUCUAAUAUCAGCUUUCAUGACUACUAUAUCCUUGGCUUUGAAAGUAAACCAAUGAACAGGCCUCCCAGAUACUAUCAAGGAGCUGAAACUUACAUAUCACUGAAUCGGGACAGUGAGACAUCAGAACCUUCACCCAUUAUGAUUGCCUCACUGACCUCCUGCUUCCUGUUGACCAAAUUAUCUUCCUUACCCCUCCCUAAUUCCUGUUUUCCCACAUUUCUUCCCUGCUAUAUAAACUCCUAAUUUCAGUUGGUCAGGGAGAUACAUUUGAGAAUGGUAUCACAUCUCCUAGGCUGCAGCACCUGAUUAAAGCCUGUUCCUUGGCAAUGCUUGUUGUCUUAGUGAUUGGCUUUCUGUGGGGUAAGCUGCAGAGUCUUCACUGAAUCCCUGGCAUUUCAGUAACAAAAUUCUCUGCAACCUUCACUGCUUUGGCUUAUUGUAACCUGAAAUCAAAUUUGUCCACAACUUCUGAGAUAACUUGAUAUAAUUCUAGGAUUCAUUUUGUCCACCACUGCUUACCAGUCUGAGCUUGCCAGCUCCCAACCCUUCCUAGUGCCAAUGAACUUUCUCAAAGAGCCACAGGUAACAUUUUCCCUUUUUCAUAAAAUGCUAAUUUUCUCUUCGUUCUUCCAAUAUCUUGAAGACCACUGAGUUUUCCUGUAUGCCCCACCUGGCAAAUAUUUCUUUGCAAAUAAAACUUAAAUUUAGAGAUUCAUCUCUACAUUUUAUUUUGACUUUAGUAGUUUACUUUAAUUCUCUGUAUUAAGAC
rnacentral:lncRNA from 1 species